AUUGAACGCUGGCGGCAUGCUUUACACAUGCAAGUCGAACGGUAACAGGCCUUCGGGUGCUGACGAGUGGCGAACGGGUGAGUAAUGCAUCGGAACGUACCCAGAGGUGGGGGAUAACGCAGCGAAAGCUGUGCUAAUACCGCAUGCGAUCUGAGUAUGAAAGCGGGGGACCGAGCAGCAAUGUUUGGCCUCGCGCCUUUGGAGCGGCCGAUGUCGGAUUAGCUAGUUGGUGGGGUAAAGGCCUACCAAGGCGACGAUCCGUAGCUGGUCUGAGAGGACGACCAGCCACACUGGGACUGAGACACGGCCCAGACUCCUACGGGAGGCAGCAGUGGGGAAUUUUGGACAAUGGGCGCAAGCCUGAUCCAGCAAUGCCGCGUGCGGGAAGAAGGCCUUCGGGUUGUAAACCGCUUUUGGCAGGAACGAAACGGUGUCCGCUAAUACCGGGCGCUAAUGACGGUACCUGCAGAAUAAGCACCGGCUAACUACGUG
rnacentral:rRNA from 1 species